ensembl:lncRNA
CUAACAAAUAAUAACAGCUAAUAACUACACUAUUCUUCCAGAAUUUCACAGACUUCUGCCUAAACAUCUCUUCCUUCUCUCAAGAGCAUUUAACAUAAAUCUUAACCAUUCCUCCUUGAGGCUCCUCCCCUGCAAGAAAGUUGGUAUGCCUUAGCACAGUGAAAUCAUUGCUCUAAAAGCCAGCCUGCUCAUUAAAUUAUUCUGCUAGCUGUGUGUUCCCUCAUUAAAAAUGUAUAAAGAUCAGAUAAUUGCAGCACAUAUUAUUAACCUUGUUUUCCUUCCUUUCAUGUACAGGUUCUGUUUUGCUGCUAAGACAAAGACCUGGAAAGGACAGGGGAAACACUCAGCUAAACUACAAUAUGAAAAACUCUUCCAGCUUUCCUUCAAGACCACAAGGAAUCACAGUGCAGUCAAAAAUGCUCAUACUUUUACAACAGGUGCAAACCUCAGAAAAUGUUCUGCAGUGAGCGUCCGUCUCCUUCAGCCAUCCGUCCGCAUGCGGUUGGAAAGGCACCAGCCCCACAGUGCGACUGAGCAUGUAAUGGGCUCAAGUUACAGGAGAUUAGCAGGAUUUCCCCUGUAACUGCUGCUCCCAUCUGCCAGAGACCAGACAUUGGAGCUGACAGCAGGAAGACAAUCUCGCCUGUUGCUCUCAUGACCCUUUGGCUGGUGCCCCAGGGACAUGCAUGAGACCAGCACACGGCAGAGGGGGUGUCAGAAAAGGCCGGUGGGCCAAAGCAUGGCAUGAAGCUGGGCAGAAGAGGGAGAGACAGCAAAUGAGAGGGAAAGGGAGGAGGAGACGCAAGAGACAAGAGUCUGGAAAUCCUGGAUCUGGUCAAGCAGAAGGUUACAACACAGAGGAAGAUGAUGCCCAAACCAGAGAAGGAAGAGUAAGCAGCACAGGCACCACCAGCCACCAGGAGCCAUCCAUCCUCUCCACAGACCACAUGCACAUACCCCAACAUGUGGCAAGAUCUUCCGUGGUCUGUUAGUUUGCCUCUAAAGAGGGAGGAAACUUGCAAGUUACCUCAACCCCUAACCCCCCAAACCCAAGACAAGUCACUAACACAACCCCUCAAAAGGUGAGGGUUCAGCACUGCCUCCGCAAUCCUAUUUCAAGUGCCACUGCUUCACAGCACAUACACUGGUCUUCAACCACUGUAGAGCUUUAACUGCAGUCAAACGGGGUUGAGGUGCUCCCAGAUACAAUCCCUAGGACUCCUGAAUCAAAACCACAAAACUAGCAGCCACACAGAUCCUUGUUAUUAUGGGUUAUUAUGUUUUAGAUCCUCUUAUGCUAAAGGAUCAGAAGCCCCUCAACUCAAUAGGGAAUGCCAAAAAAAUAUCACAUCCCAUUUGUGGACCUUUUAGCUAGGACUCAUCAAAAAGCUCAAGAGAAAAUGUAUGCUCUUUCUCAAAAAUGGCACUUGAGUAGUGCCAUAACAAGGCAUGAAUUCACGGACUAAAGAAAAAGGUAUUUUUAAAAAUAAUUGCUCUGUACAUUGAGCAGUUAAUUGUUCCAAAGUGACUGAUUCCAAAUGGAGAUAUGCCCAUGCGCCCAUUCAUUUCCCACAUCGGUUACA